GGGGAAUAUUGGGCAAUGGAGGAAACUCUGACCCAGCAACGCCGCGUGAAUGAUGAAGGUCUCGGAUUGUAAAGUUCUUUUCUAAGGGAAGAAGAAAGUGACGGUACCUUAUGAAUAAGCCACGGCUAACUAC
rnacentral:rRNA from 1 species